CCUACGGGAGGCUGCAGUGAGGAAUUUUGCGCAAUGGACGAAAGUCUGACGCAGCAACGCCGCGUGAGGGAUGAAGGCCUUAGGGUUGUAAACCUCUUUUAGUCGGAACGAAAUAAAUGACGGUACCGACAGAAAAAGCACCGGCUAACUCUGUGCCAGCAGCCGCGGUGAUACAGAGGGUGCAAGCGUUAUUCGGAAUUAUUGGGCGUAAAGAGCGUGUAGGUGGUUGAGUAAGUUUGAUGUGAAAGCCCUAGUCUCAAGCUAGGAAGUGCAUUGAAUACUACUCGGCUAGAGUACAGGAGAGGUUAGUGGAAUUCCAGGUGUAGAGGUGAAAUUCGUAGAUAUCUGGAGGAACAACAGUGGCGAAGGCGACUAACUGGACUGUAACUGACACUAAGGCGCGAAAGCGUGGGGAGCAAACAGGCUUAGAUACCCUGGUAGUC
rnacentral:rRNA from 1 species